UUAGGUGCAAUAUCAUUAAGUUGAAUCAUGCGCCAUUCCUCUCUACACCUCCAAAAAAAAAGAGAGAAAGUAGUUUUCCAUUCAAAGAUGUCUUAGAACACUCAGACCCAUGUAUAAGACACUGAAAAGCAGUGGUGCCCAGGGAGCUCUCCGUUCUUCCCGUUUUCUCAAGAAAUUGAGCUAGGAAGCCAUGUAUAAAGUUACGUCGAAGUUCAGUGUGAGGCCAGGAGUGGUACAGGCUUAUGUCUGUAAUCCCAACAUUUUGGGAAGCCAAGGCAGAAGGGUUGCUUGUGGUCAAGAAUUGGAGACCAGCCUGCGCAAUAUGUCCAGACUCUUGUCUCUACAAAAAAAUAGAAGAGUAAUAAUUUUAAAAAAUCAGACGAGCUUGGUGUAAUCCCGGCUACUACUCAGGAGGCUGAAUCGAGAGGAUGGCUGGAGCCCAGGAGUAGGAGGUUACAGUGACCUAUGAUGUCACCACUGCACUUCAGUCUGGGUGAGAGAGUGAGACUGUUUCUAUAAUAAAAUGAAUUCAAUGUGGG
ensembl:lncRNA novel transcript